rnacentral:lncRNA from 1 species
AUUUCUGUUCGGAGAUGAUUGUGACAUCCCUGGAGAUGUAACAAUACUUCCCUGGUGCUGCAUGAGAUCCACCCGACCCUCCAGUAAAGUGCUCAUCCCCAAGGGACAUAACUCGCUCCCCUUCCCAUUGUCAUCCACUAUCUAUGCGGUCUGGAGGGGACUGGCGCGUGGUUGACAGCUGGGAGAGGAAUGAAGUCCGCUUCUGUAGCAGCUGGCAGGGGCUCCAGGGGAGCUGAGGCUAACGGGCCUGCCUCGCUCCAACCUCCCCUCCUACUGCCUGGAUUACUAACGAGCUGUCCCAGGUUACUGGCAAUGCUAGAAGGCCCCGUGGCUCCACAAUGGCCCAGAUAACUCCUUCUAGGCACGAGAGACAGUAAGGCCAAAUUCCCCGGGUGGAAAUAAAAGGAAGAGUGUCGUACCUAGGUUACACUUAAAGGAAGCUUUUUGAAGAAACAAAGAUAAAAUUCCUCUAGGGAAUUCAGUUAAAUGACUCCCUCUCCCCAAAAAUAGAGGAAAAGAAUCUUGGCUUUAAUCUUCACCCAAGAAGAUGGCAAGAAGCUCAAUGUAUGUAUAUAGACUCUAGAGGCGGUUCUGAAAAAAUUGGGGCACAAUUGUUGGAAUACUGAGAGGCAAAAAUAUAAACCUCAAGGUUUUCAUGUAUCUUCUACUAAAUUAAUUGGAUCAAUGCUGAGUCAUUUCCCCCUUUGCCGAGGUAGAAACCAAAGUGGUUCUUGUGAGAUGACGGAAAACCUAGUUAAUCCACCCGACCCCAUAACAAGGAUUUCUCUGAACUUGCCCCAGGCCGGAUGGUCCCAACUCACCUUCUUGGUGACCCUCUAUUAACAUAUGUAAAGACUUUCAAAGUGACUUCUAAAGCUGUCCUGUUUUGUUUAAAGGCUGCUGACAGCUUUCUGACUCCAUUCCCAAGCCUGAACUUAUGAAUUUAUUGCAUUGCUAUCCUGUGAAGACUAAACCAGAUCUAGGUAAUUUCAGGCUAUUAAUGGAAAUUAUUUCAGUCUCCGUUACCUCAGUUCUCCCCAGCACGCAUCCCACACUCACACUCUCUGGCCCCAGCUACUCUAUGCCUUCACCACCACGCUAUGGCUCAUGGAACAUGGUGUUUCUCAGGGCAAAACAGCUGGGUAACCAACAGGGGUACUGUUUAAGAUGUAUAAUCAAGAGCCCAAGGAUGGCUGAGGAGAAGACAGGUCAACCCUCUCAGGAGAAAGUCAGGAUGCUCUGCCCAGUUUCCAGACCUAAGCUGCUUCUCAGACCCAGAAUCCGUUGACUGAAGGAGAAGCUAAGUCCUCAUGAGGGUGGAUCCUGCAACCACAGAGCAAGAGUCAGUCCUUCCUCAAGGACCUACGCCCGCUAAUUCAGAAAAAGUUUCCUGACUCCUGACAUAGGGGGUUGAGAAGAGGACUGGAAGGAGUGAGACUGGAAGACUGGGAAAGGAAAGUCCGGGGAAGAGGCAGGUGGUUGGUCCCGUGUUAGUGGACAUAAAUGUACUAUCUUUGUAUAUCACAUUAAAGUCCACCAGACAGCAUCCACUGCAGAUGACACAGUAAAUAGCCACGUGGACCAAGGACUCAGCCAAUACACAUCAGCAAAAGUCUGUCCUUGGUGACACAUCUAGGUAUACAGUCAUAUGCCACAUAGUGACGUUUCAGUCAACGAUGGACCACAUAGACAACAGUGGCCCCUUAGGAUUAGUACCACACAGCCUAGGUGUGCAGUAGGCUAUAUCAUCUAGGUUCGUGUAAGUACACUCUACGAUGUUUUCACAACGAUGACAUUGCCUAAUGACGCAUUUCUCGGAACGUAUCCCCGUUGUCAAGUGACACUUGACAGUAUUAUAAUACCUAGAACAUAACCACUAAAGAAACUAUUAAAAGAUUCAAGUCAUAUCAAGUAUGUUCUCUGGCCACAGUGGAAAUAAAUUUGAAAUCAAUACCAGAAAUAUCUCAGAAAAAUUCCC